UACAGAGGUGGCGAGCGUUAUUCGGAAUUACUGGGCGUAAAGGGCUCGUAGGUGGCCAACUAAGUCGGACGUGAAAUCCCUCGGCUUAACCGGGGAACUGCGUCUGAUACUGGAUGGCUUGAGUUCGGGAGAGGGAUGCGGAAUUCCAGGUGUAGCGGUGAAAUGCGUAGAUAUCUGGAGGAACACCGGUGGCGAAGGCGGCAUCCUGGACCGACACUGACGCUGAGGAGCGAAAGCCAGGGGAGCAAACGGG
rnacentral:rRNA from 1 species